UACGUAGGGUGCAAGCGUUAAUCGGAAUUACUGGGCGUAAAGCGCGCGUAGGCGGCUUUGUAAGUUAGAGGUGAAAGCCCGGGGCUCAACCCCGGAACUGCCUUUAAAACUGCAUCGCUUGAAUCCGGGAGAGGUGAGUGGAAUUCCGAGUGUAGAGGUGAAAUUCGUAGAUAUUCGGAAGAACACCAGUGGCGAAGGCGGCUCACUGGACCGGCAUUGACGCUGAGGUGCGAAAGCGUGGGGAGCAAACAGG
rnacentral:rRNA from 1 species